rnacentral:rRNA from 1 species
GACGAACCGUCCAAACGUUACUCGGAAUCACUGGGCUUAAAGGGUGCGUAGGCGGCCUGGUAAGUUGGGUGUGAAAGCCCUCGGCUCAACCGAGGAAUUGCGCCCAAUACUGUCGGGCUUGAGGAAGAUAGAGGUGAGCGGAACUAAGGGUGGAGCGGUGAAAUGCGUUGAUAUCCUUAGGAACACCAGUAGCGAAAGCGGCUCACUGGGUCUUUUCUGACGCUGAGGCACGAAAGCUAGGGGAGCGAACGGG